rnacentral:sRNA from 1 species
UGAGGUUGCCCUGUAAGAUAUGAUAAG